CUUUGUUCCAAACACAGUCUCUAACUCUUCUCUCCUGUUCACUUGCCGCUGGCUGUGUCUUGACCAAUGAGGUGCUCCUGCUCAAAAGCUGAGAGCUCUGCUGACCCUGUUUCUGUCCAGUCAAAACACACCUGUCUUCAAAGAGCCAUAUGUUUCACAGGAAGAGUUCAUUCCCCUCCAUACCCAGAAGAAGGCUGAUACCAUGUGUUUCUCUAAACUUGGACACAAGGAAGAAGAGUCCAAAAUAUCAACAGGGAAGAAUCUGCAAGGAAUAACCGAGAAGAAAAACUAACAUCUUGCAUCACAGAGAGUUGGUUUCCCCUUCAAACUCUUCCACCAACUUGGAGGGCACCAUCAUGGAAAAAUACAGAAUAGAAGUGGAUACUGGUAUCAGAAGAAAACUGGAAUUCUACAAAUAUACAUCAGGAUCCCACUCUGUCCCACUAUCAU